rnacentral:rRNA from 1 species
UACGGGAGGCAGCAGUGAGCGAAUAUUGGUCAAUGGGCGGGAGCCUGACACCAUCCGAGUCGCGUGAAGGAAGAAGGAUCUAUGGAUCGUAAACUU